rnacentral:rRNA from 1 species
CCUACGGGUGGCAGCAGUGAGGAAUAUUGGUCAAUGGGCGGGAGCCUGAACCAGCCAAGUCGCGUGAGGGAUGACGGCCCUAUGGGUUGUAAACCUCUUUUGCCGGGGAGCAAGUGCCGCACGUGUGCGGUUUGGAGAGUACCCGGAGAAAAAGCAUCGGCUAACUCCGUGCCAGCAGCCGCGGUAAUACGGAGGAUGCGAGCGUUAUCCGGAUUUAUUGGGUUUAAAGGGUGCGUAGGCGGACGCUUAAGUCAGCGGUAAAGUUGCGGGGCUCAACCUCGUCGAGCCGUUGAAACUGGGUGCCUUGAGUGGGCGAGAGGUACGCGGAAUUCGUGGUGUAGCGGUGAAAUGCUUAGAUAUGACGAAGAACCCCGAUUGCGAAGGCAGCUUGCUGCAGCGGAACUGACGCUGAUGCUCGAAAGCGCGGGUAUCGAACAGGAUUAGAUACCCCUGUAGUC